CUUCAUAGUAGGCACCUUGGGACCUCACAUAAUUCUCCCAGCAUUUCUUCCACUGUUCAAAUCACUCUGCAAAAUCCUUUUUUGGAAUCACCAUCAGCUGCCUUGUAUUUACUUGUAUCCCGUUGACGGUCUGAAAUAUCCUCCCUUUCAAAGGUGAUUUUAGUUUUGGGGGAAGCCAGCUAAAUCUUUCAACAGAUUCUCAACCAUCUUUGAAGCGUAUGUUCCAUUCUUAUUUGUGCUGCACUCAUUACAUUGUCUCAGACAGCCUUCUGAAUCAUCCAAAUAGUUUCUGGAAGAACGUUCAAGCUCAACGCAAAGUUUGAUGCAGAUUUGUUGCUCUACUCG